GAUGAACGCUAGCGGCAGGCUUAACACAUGCAAGUCAGGGGUAACAUAGAAAAGCUUGCUUUUCUGAUGACGACCGGCGCACGGGUGCGUAACGCGUAUACAACCUACCUUUUAGCGGGGAAUAGCCCAGGGAAACUUGGAUUAAUGCCCCAUAGUAUAUGGACUUCUCCUGAAGUUUAUAUUAAACAUUUAUGGCUAUUAGAUGGGUAUGCGUCCUAUUAGUUAGUUGGUAAGGUAACGGCUUACCAAGGCAGCGGUAGGUAGGGGUCCUGAGAGGGAGAUCCCCACACUGGUACUGAGACACGGACCAGACUCCUACGGGAGGCAGCAGUGAGGAAUAUUGGACAAUGGGCGAGAGCCUGAUCCAGCCAUGCCGCGUGCAGGAAGACUGCCCUAUGGGUUGUAAACUGCUUUUACAGAGGAAGAACCACCCCCACGUGUGGGGGUUUGACGGUACUCUGCGAAUAAGGAUCGGCUAACUCCGUG
rnacentral:rRNA from 1 species